CCAAGGGUUCCUGGGCCAGGCUAAUCCGCCCAGGGUAAGUCGGGACCUAAGGCGAGGCCGACAGGCGUAGUCGAUGGACAACGGGUUGAUAUUCCCGUACCCGCUACGAUGCGCCAAUACUGAAUCCAGUGAUACUAAGGGUCCUUAAGUCCCCUGCACGCACCCUUCGGGGUGUUUGGGGUGAGGCUGAACGCCUGACCUGAACUGGUAGUAGGUAAGCGAUGGGGUGACGCAGGAAGGUAGCCCAGCCCAGGCGAUGGUAGUCCUGGGGUAAGCAUGUAGGGAGGACCGUAGGCAAAUCCGCGGUCUAUUAAUCCUGAGAUGUGAUGCCGAGCCGAUUGUGGCGAAGUGGGUGAUCCUAUGCUGCCGAGAAAAGCCUCUAGUGAGUGUCGUGGCGGCCCGUACCCCAAACCGACUCAGGUGGUCAGGUAGAGAAUACCAAGGCGAUCGGGUGAACUGUGGUUAAGGAACUCGGCAAAUUGCCCCCGUAACUUCGGGAGAAGGGGGGCCUCCGCUGGUGAUCAGACUUGCUUUGUGAGCUGGUGGGGGUCGCAGAGGCCAGGGGGAAGCGACUGUUUACUAAAAACACAGGUCCGUGCGAAGUCGUAAGACGAUGUAUACGGACUGAGGCCUGCCCGGUGCUGGAACGUUAAGGGGACCGGUUAGCGCACUUCGGUGUGCGAGGCUGAGAACUUAAGCGCCAGUAAACGGCGGUGGUAACUAUAACCAUCCUAAGGUAGCGAAAUUCCUUGUCGGGUAAGUUCCGACCUGCACGAAUGGCGUAACGACUUCCCCGCUGUCUCAACCGCAGACCCGGCGAAAUUGCACUACGAGUAAAGAUGCUCGUUACGCGCAGCAGGACGGAAAGACCCCGGGACCUUCACUACAGCUUGACAUUGGCGUUUGGAACGUCUUGUGUAGGAUAGGUGGGAGACUGUGAAGCUGUCACGCUAGUGGCGGUGGAGUCAUUGGUGAAAUACCACUCUGGUCGUUUUGAACGUCUAACUUCGGUCCGUGAUCCGGAUCAGGGACAGUGUCUGGUGGGUAGUUUAACUGGGGCGGUUGCCUCCUAAAGAGUAACGGAGGCGCCCAAAGGUUCCCUCAGCCUGGUUGGUAAUCAGGUGUCGAGUGUAAGUGCACAAGGGAGCUUGACUGUGAGACCGACGGGUCGAGCAGGAGCGAAAGCUGGGACUAGUGAUCCGGCGGUGGCAUGUGGAAGCGCCGUCGCUCAACGGCUAAAAGGUACCCCGGGGAUAACAGGCUGAUCUUCCCCAAGAGUCCAUAUCGACGGGAUGGUUUGGCACCUCGAUGUCGGCUCGUCGCAUCCUGGGGCUGGAGUAGGUCCCAAGGGUUGGGCUGUUCGCCCAUUAAAGCGGUACGCGAGCUGGGUUUAGAACGUCGCGAGACAGUUCGGUCCCUAUCCGCUGCGCGCGCAGGAGACUUGAAAGGAGCUGUCCCUAGUACGAGAGGACCGGGACGGACGAACCUCUGGUGUGCCAGUUGUUCCGCCAGGAGCAUGGCUGGUUGGCUACGUUCGGAAGGGAUAACCGCUGAAAGCAUCUAAGCGGGAAGCUCGCCUUGAGAUGAGGUCUCCCACCACGUGAGUGGGUAAGCC
rnacentral:rRNA from 1 species